rnacentral:sRNA from 1 species
GAGAUUGACAGCUCCAACUUGUCCCUAUGGAUUGAGUAUGGCACCAUGUCCUAUGCCUUGCACUCAUUCGCCUCACGUCAAUUGAAGCAGUGGAGAGGCGAGCUGCCCCCUGAGCUCGUGCAGCAGAUGGAGGGCCGGCGCGACAGCAUGCUAGAGACAGCCAAGCACUGUUUCACAUCAGCAGCCCGCUGCGAGGGUGAUGGUGACGAGGAGGAGUGGCUCAUCCACUACAUGCUGGGCAAGGUGGCUGAGAAGCAGCAGCAGCCACCCACCGUUUACUUGCUGCACUACAGGCAGGCUGGCCACUACCUGCACGAGGAGGCUGCCCGCUACCCCAAGAAGAUCCACUACCACAACCCACCUGAGCUGGCCAUGGAGGCCCUGGAGGUGACACCAUGCUGGCCCAGGGCGGGGAAGCAGGGCAGGGGCAGGCUGGUUUCUUUAUCUCCCUGGGCAUGGGGCUCAAGGUUCCAGUGACCGUCCUUCAACCUGCCACAAACUUAUCUGUGUUGAGCAGCUUCAUGUGCAAUUGAAUUAAAACAUCAUUUCCUCUCUUU